GUGUUUGCUUCAGCAGCACAUAUACUAAAAUUGGAAUGAUGUAGACUAGACUAGCAUGGCCCCUGCGCAAGAAUGACAUACAAGUUUGUGAAGCUUUCCAUACUUUU